CAUAGCAUAUAUAUAGAGAGAGAGAAUGGUCACCUUUAAACCCUCAUCCAACAACUACAGCUGUGUUCCAGAAAUGACCAUCACCACCAGACCCCAUCCAUUCACAUCUUCCACUCUCUCUCUCUCUCUCUCUCUCUCUCUCUCUCUCUCUCUCUCUCUCUCUCUCUCUCUCUCUGCGUGUUACUUUUACUUUCUUUUGAAACCAAAUCAAUUUUUUUUUUUUCAUUUCAUUCCUUCAAAUAUGGUGCCUUCUUCCAUAUCAGAACCAAACACAAGCGAAAGCACCUUCUUUGUAUCAAAGGCUUUAUACACACUCAUCUGUUGUACCCUUUUUUACCUGUGGAGAUUCAUGGUGAGUGAGAUUCAGUGGUGGAUCCGUGUAAUGAUGAAAAUAUUUGACUGCACAUGUGCCCUUCUUGUCUUCAACACAUUAGAAAAAGGGCAGCCAUCAUUUGCUUUUUGAAUUCUGGUUCUACUCAUUUUCAGAUCUUUCUGUCAUGCUUACUUCAGUUUCAGUGUCCUAUAUAUCAUUCUGUUGUUCACUGUUUUCAAUCAUUGGAUCCAAAUUUCUCAUCAUGAGUCUCAACAUCUCAUGUGUCUGUCUGUCUAUGUAUAGGAUCUGUUUUAGGGUUUUCAUAGACAGCAUGUUACACUUUUAACUAAGUAAAAUACCUAUAUGAUAAUAGCUUUUCCAUUCAUACCCGUUUACAAAUAACAAGAAAAAUGACUAACUGAAAAGGGAUUUUUUUUUUUUUAAAUCUCCAUAACAAGCAAAUUAAUUACUGUAAUAUCAUCUCCAUUGAUUUUCAAAACGUUGUUCUAUGUAUUUUCCGGUGGAUUCGUGUUACAGAACUGCAUGUCGUGUGGAUCUCCACCGCCUCAGCUUUACCAAAUUAUUCAAUUAUUGUUGUUUUUCGUCCCUUUAAUUUCUCUUUUCAUCAUUUUCAGCAAUUAAUUCUUUGUGAGUGGAAGACAUUGAUGUAGAAGGAUAGUAAGUUGAAGCAUAUUGUGUGACAAAAUAUUCUGUAGAAUAGAUUCUAUUUUAUUGCUAUCUUUUCUUUCUUUAUAAAAAGGAGACGUCUUUCUGCUGUC